ensembl:lncRNA
CUUCUCCAUAGUGACUGUACUAGUUUGCAUUGCCACCAACAUUGUAAGAGGGUUCCCUUUUCUCCGCACCCUCUCUGGCAUUUAUUGUUUGUAACCCUCUAUUUCUUACAUAUCUGUAUCUUUCACAUACGCCUCCUCCAGUUACCCUACAGGUUUCCCACUGGCCCCACCUACUGGUGACUUGAGUAACUGAUCCAGCUUGAAAGCUGCGGCGCAAUUCAUGGCCCUCACGGCUGGAAGGCCAAGUUCAGUUUUCCUCUAGUCUUUACCUGAGAUGAGCGGCUGCAUCUUCAUGGUGAAAACUCCCUAAAUCCAGACUCAACAAGAAGGGUGCAACCAGGGCUCUGAAGGGCACUCUGUAAGCACAAAGGCAUGAAGUGUUUGAAAUAUCAGAACCAGAAAUUGCUUGAAUCUAAUUUUCAGGUGUACAAGAGGCCAAUGUAACAUGAGCGCGACAAGAAAUGGAAAAAGUGAGAUGUACUGCAGAUUUUGGAUGGACUUUCAGCAUGUGAUGGAUGAAUGGAGAAGGGCAGCCAAGGAGCUGUUAAGGGAGGACUCAAGCCCAAGCCAGAAUCUUGGCAGCCAAAGAUGAAAACAUCAGCAGAUUCUGAAAAGAUUAAGCAGAUCACAAUGAAAAGAUAACUCUGGUGAUAAGAUUGCCCUGAUAACUGGUGAUAAACAGGAGGACUCAGAUUCUGACUGUCUCCAUAGACAGCAAGGAGACUAUCAGCAAAUUGCUUGCUAUUACUCUCUGUUUGCUUUCAUCGUUGUGAUUUUGUAAUUAACGGAGACCUGAUUAUUACUCUGCUAAGGGUCAUUUUUCUUGGCUCCCCUGUUUACGAAAUUAAAAUGAACUCCUUAGCAUGUGAUUAUAAGUCCUCCAUGAUCUGGCUGACUCUGACCUGCCUUCCCAGUUAUUGAUCUAACUACCACCCAUCCAUUCUCCGUGACCCUCUGCAAUGCUGACCUGGUCACUGCUCACUGGAAAAAUACUGUCGCUGUCCACCUCUAGGCACCUCCUUCUCAGAGCAUUUCUUUUAUUUUCUUAUGCCUUCUUCUGCUUUUUUUCUUCUAAAUUCUAAUUACCAUUUGAAACCUCUGGUCUGAAAUCUUCCUUAAUUCUUCCCCAAAGAAAUGAUCCUACAUCCUUUGCUCAAUUGUGAGAAUUUCGUUUCGGAUUAUAGCACCUUAGAGACCAGCCCAACUUAUUUCCUUCGGACAGACUUCCUGCAGCUGUCAGUCUCUACCAGUGGGCUGUGUUUUGCUGAAGUCACAACUUGCCUUGUUUAUCUCUCCAUCUUCAAGUGCAUGUAAACAUGCCUGCCUGAUUUUUGCUUCAGUUUAUGUGGAAGACAUUUGGUUUAGGAGAUGACAACUUAAAUUAGAAGAACAAGAAGUCAUGGUUGCUAUUAUGGCUUUGAUUUGUCAUGCUGUAAUUGCAGCGUGCGGCAGAAUAGUAACUACACAGUGUUUCCAAACCCUAAGAAAUGAGACCAGGGUGGAUGUUCAGUUCAGUUCAGUUCAGUCGCUCAGUCGUGUCCGACUCUUUGCGACCCCAUGAAUCGCAGCACACCAGGCCUCC